CUUUUCUUUCAUUUCACAACACACUCUGCCUCUUCUUUCUUUCUUUUUUUCUUUCUAUCUUCCUCAUUUCUUUGAUCAAUAUAUCUCAUUUCACACUCUCACCAAAACAACAUCAACAACAGCAACAAAAAACUCCAACAGCAGAGACAAGCAGUACUGUUUUCUAAAAGCAAAUAAACACAGAGAGAGAGAGAGAGAGAGAAUCUUGUGGUUAUUGAAACCUAAGCAUAAGAACAGAAUGUUGGAGUUAAAAGACCCGGCGAUAAAGCUGUUCGGAAAGACAAUUCCGUUGCCACUAAGGAAGCAAACUUUGACUAACGAGUCAUCUGUAGCUGAGGAUUGCUCUGACCAAAAUCUUCAUUCUCCAAACAUUUCCUCCUCUUCGCGUGAAGAGAGCUCUGCCAGAGAACGUGAAGGGAAUAAGGAACCUUUGGGAAGAGAACUCAUCACAAAUAAACAGGAAGAUGGUACCUCGCAUCAGAUUUCAGAAGAUUCAAAAGAUCCUACAUCAUCAAGCACUAGCGAGAACCCUAAAACUCCCUCAGUUGACAUAGAAACUUCAUCAAUAAAAGCCUCAAAGAAUGGAGAACAAAGUGAGACAAGUAUCUCACAAGAAAAGACCCUGAAGAAGCCUGACAAAAUACUUCCAUGUCCCCGGUGCAAUAGCAUGGACACCAAGUUUUGUUAUUACAACAAUUACAAUGUCAACCAGCCCCGUCAUUUCUGUAAGAACUGUCAAAGAUACUGGACUGCUGGUGGAACUAUGAGGAAUGUACCCGUAGGUGCUGGUCGUCGGAAGAACAAAAACUCUUCCAAUUCACAUUAUCGUCACAUUAUAGUUUCAGAAGCUCUUCAAACAGCUCGAGCUAAUGGAAUUCAAAAUCCAGCUUUUGGAAAUAAUAGCACUGUCCUCACAUUUGGCUCAGAUUCUCCUCUUUGCGAAUCCAUGGCUUCUGUAUUGAACCUUGCAGAGAAAACGCAAAACCAUGUUCCAAACGUAUUUCACAGACCUGAUCAAAGAACUCUUGUUUCUGGUGGAGAUACUGGAGACGAUUACUCAAGUGGAUCCUCUAUCACAGCUUCAAAUUCAACUGAGAAGGAAUUUAAUGCUGGUUUACAAGAGUCAGCAGUUAAGAAUUAUCAAGGGUUUCCUCCCCAGUUACCAUGCUUUCCAGGAACCCCUUGGUCUUUGCCUUGGAACUCAGCUCACUGGAGCUCUGCGAUGCCUCCACCUGCUUUAUGCCCAUCAGGCUUCCCGGUAUCAUUCUACCCUGCACCAGCAUAUUGGGGUUGUAAUGUUUCAGGCUCUUGGAAUAUACAAUGUCUUUCCCCACCAUCUUCUUCUCUCAGCCACGGUAGCCAAAGCUCGGCCCCUAAUUCCCCAACCUUGGGCAAACAUUCACGGGAUGGGAACAUCAUUAAUCCCGCGAACUCACCGAAAGAGUCUGUUAAAGAGAACAGUUCAGAAAGAUGUGUUUGGAUUCCAAAAACUUUGAGGAUUGAUGAUCCCAAUGAAGCUGCAAAGAGCUCUAUAUGGACUACACUUGGGAUCAAGAAUGAGAAGACUAGUUCUAUCAACAGUGGAGGUCUCUUUAAGGCAUUCCAAACAAAGGGCAAUGACAAAAGUAAAGUGGUCGAGACAUCUGCUGUGCUGCAAGCCAACCCUGCAGCCUUGUCCCGGUCACUAAACUUCCAUGAGAGUGCAUAAUUGCAGAGAAACUUGCAUUGUUAACUCUGCUUGUGGUGGCAAUGCAACAAAUGGGGUUUCCAUCAUUGCAACUCCUUGCUGACAAAUUUGUGCAGCCUUUUUUCCCCAAAUAUUGUAUGUUAACCAACCUCGAUGCAAGAAUUGGUUAGCAAAAGCAAUCCAAAUUAGAGGAAGAUCAUGCAGGAAGCAGUUAGCAAAGCAAUAUAAAUUAGAGGAAGACUAGAGAAGUUUCCGCCUAUUUUUACCUUGUAGGAGAGCAGAGCCGUUAACCUCAAUUCUGAGAAAAUCAGAUACAAGGAUAUAAAGGUAUGUAAGGAGAGAACAUUAGAUCAUCUAAAAUCUCUCUUUUUGGUACUCUGUUCCUUUGGGCUUGUAUUUGGGGGUGUAAGAUUCGUAUUUCUUUAUCUGAUUUUUUAUCCUCUAGUUCCUUUAGUUCUUGAUUUUUUUUGUAUCCGUUUCUUGUUUAGAGUGUUCACUAGCGUGAGCAUGAUGUUCAAUUUUUAAUAUAAAGUCUUAUUACCUAUCAUAAAAAACCUAUGUAACCUGGUUUGAUUAUGUACUGAUGGGAUUUCCCUCUCUACUAAAAAAAACAAAGGCACAAAAAGCUACACUCUGUUGCUGUGGCAACCCAACCUUUCGUCAACUCUACAUGGAAUUCCUAAUUAUCAUGUUAGAUGUUACAUCAUUCACAUAGACCCCAAAGGAGAACAUAUUUUUUUUUUUAAAUCAUCAAUAUCAAGAAAAUUGAUUGAUGUUCUUGUCCUGCCUAUUUACAGAAGUUUGUUUUGGAAGUUCAAGGCUGCAACUAAAUGUAUGGCUGGUGCAAUAAAAUUUGGUAAUGGUUAUUGUAUGUCGUACUGUUAGAGAGGCACACAGUAAAAUAGAUUUGGAGAUGGGGCAGAUUCAAAAAGAUAGAAAAGUUCUCUAGGCCCACAUUAAUGCUGAUAACUUUGAA